UUUUUUUUUUUAAAUUUUUUAAAAUCUGCUCCUUCCAUUUUCAGUGUGUCCCUAUAAAUUGCUCACACCAGACUCCACAAAACCUUCUCCUUCCCCUCUCUUCACAUUUCAUAUCUCUCCCCUGUAAAUUGGAUAAUUGAAUUGAAUUUACAUUAGUUCAUUUAGUUUAUUAUAAUUUCAAUUGAACCCAAAAAAAUUACGAGAAGAGGGCAUAUUUGUAGAGGAGGAUAAGCUAUGCCCUCAAUUUUAUAUUGAAAACCCAAAAAAAAAGUUAUCUUAAUUUUGCCUCCUCUAUUAGAUCUUAAUUUUUUUUAUGAGAUUUGCUUAUCUGGGUGUUUUUUUUAAUUGAUCGUUGAAGGAUCUGUGAAGCUUGGGAUUUUGUUUGCCAUCAUCCAAGAAUUUAGAUUGUUUCAUUUCUUAUCGAAUUUGUUUAAAUAAGUGUGAUUGAGGAGCACAUCGAAUCUAUCAGAAUUGGGAGGGAUUUGUGAUUCAUUAAAGCAAGAGAUAUUGAAGGAAACGAUGCAAUCUGAUAAUGGGAAAUUAUUUAUCGGUGGAAUUUCUUGGGACACUAAUGAGGAAAGACUCAAAGAGUAUUUUGGGUCGUUUGGCGAGGUGGUGGAGGCUGUGAUAAUGAAAGAUCGAACCACAGGGAGAGCUCGUGGUUUUGGUUUUGUUGUUUUUGCUGACCCGGCUGUUGCAGAUAGAGUCAUUAAGGAAAAGCACAAUAUUGAUGGCAGGAUGGUUGAGGCAAAAAAAGCUGUUCCCAGGGAUGACCAGAACAUUUUGACCAGGAGCACUGGUGGUAGCAUUCACGGUUCUCCUGGCCCAUGCCGCACAAGAAAGAUUUUUGUUGGAGGUUUAGCAUCCACAGUUACAGAGGCGGAUUUUAGGACGUAUUUUGAGCAGUAUGGGACAAUCACAGAUGUGGUAGUGAUGUAUGAUCACAACACCCAGAGGCCAAGAGGUUUUGGAUUCAUCACAUAUGAUUCAGAAGAAGCAGUGGACAAGGUUCUGAUGAAGACUUUUCAUGAACUGAACGGCAAGAUGGUUGAAGUUAAGCGAGCUGUUCCAAAAGAGUUAUCUCCUGGUCCUAGUCGCAGUCCACUUGGUGGAUAUAACUAUGGUUUGAGUAGGGUUAAUAGUUUCCUUAAUGGCUACACGCAGGGGUAUAAUCCAAGUACAGUUGGAGGGUAUGGACUUAGGAUGGAUGGUAGGUUCAGUCCAGUUGCUGGAGGCCGAAGUGGGUUUCCUCCAUUUGGUUCUGGUUAUGGAAUAGGUAUGAAUUUUGAGCCAGCAUUGAGCCCUACAUAUGGAGGCAAUGCUAAUUUUAGUAACAAUGUCAGUUAUGGACGGGGGAUGAACCCUUACUUUAUUGGUAAUACAAAUAGGUUUCCUAAUCCUAUAGGAUAUGAUGGAGGUAAUGGAGGUAACGGAGGAAAUAGUUCUUUUUUCAGCUCUGCGACUAGAAACUUGUGGGGAAAUGGGGGGCUCAAUUAUAACAAUACCUCUGCAAACUCCAAUACUUACAUGGGAUCUGGAAGUGGAAGCUUAGGAGGGAAUAACUUUGGCAACAAUUCAGUGAAUUGGGGUUCUUCAGCACUUUCAGUACAAGGUGGAGGAAAUGUUGUUUCCAACAACAACCUGAAUUUUGGGUAUGGAGGUGUUGAGAACAGUUUUAGUCUGGGCACAGGUGGAUAUGGAAGAAACAGCGGAAACAAUUUGGCUACAACUUCUUCAUAUGCUGCCUCCAAUGGUAGCUUGGAUGGAACCCUUGGGGACCUUUAUGGUGGAGGUUCUGAAUAUGGGGACCCCACCUGGCGAGCGUCAAACCCUGAGCGAGAUGGAUCUGGCUCCUUCGGUUACAACCUUGGGAAUGCCGCAUCUGAUGCUUCAGUAAAAAACUCUCCUGGCUAUGUUGGCGGUUACAGUGUUAAUAAGAGACAGACAAAUAGAGAUUAGGUUAUAAAGUUGAACAUCAUGCACAAAUUGUUCUAGAAUACCCAUUAAUUAGCUGAGGAAGCAUAAUCAAGGAAUUGCUGCUUAGGAGGAUCAUUUUGGUUACGAAGAAUUGUAGGUGAAGAUAAUCUGGUGAAGCAGGUGAACUGUGAAUUUCGCAUCUCCAUAAUAUAUUGCAAGUUAAAGAAAAUUGGUUAUCUAGGGCUAACCGGAGUGCCUGUUUUGAACAAUUAAAUUUAGGGAUUAGAAGAGAUAAGGGAUUUUUAUGUUAAGGUUUUUGAGUUUUGAUUAGGGUCUUUUGGUUUUUGGUAUGUGAGUGAAAUGAUGUACAAUCAGCUUGCGGCGUAUAGUCAGAAAUGUAUCACGCGCAUCUCUGGUGAGGAAGCGACACAUAAAAAUUAUAGACUAUUUUUGUUUUCUUUUUACCCCCUCUAGGUUUCAUGUCCUGGCGAUAUAUCUGGCGAACUCAGCGGAAUGGUCGCCAGGUAUGCGUUUCAUUUGCUCUUUUCUCAUUUUCGCCCGGCUAUUUGGGUUUUGGUUUGGGCAGAUUGUAGCAGAGGUUAUUGUUGAUUUUACUAGUGUGAAACAUUUAAGGGAUACCCAUCUAGGGUGUCCAUGAAUAAGUUACCACAUACUUUGAUUCUUUUUGUUACUUACAACAGCUCAGAAAACUUUCAUUUGUGGAAUGAAACAUUUGUAACACUUGUAUUUUA